rnacentral:rRNA from 1 species
UACGUAGGGUGCAGGCGUUAAUCGGAAUUACUGGGCGUAAAGCGUGCGUAGGCGGUUUGUUAAGACAGGUGUGAAAUCCCCGGGCUUAACCUGGGAACUGCGCUUGUUACUGGCAGACUGGAGUGUGGCAGAGGGGGGGUGGAAUUCCAGGUGUAGCAGUGAAAUGCGUAGAUAUCUGGAGGAACACCGAUGGCGAAGGCAGCCCCCCUGGGCUAACACUGACGCUGAUGCACGAAAGCGUGGGGAGCAAACAGG